UGUGUGGAUACUGAGCUCCUAUGUCUCAGG
rnacentral:piRNA from 1 species